rnacentral:lncRNA from 1 species
CACACAGUGUGAUUAGAAGUUGACGUAUGUAGAUAUGAAAUGUCUAUAUGUAUAGAAUUUCAUGAGCUAUGUUGCAUUGUGUAGCAUAAAGAAUCACACAGUGUGAUUAGAAGUUGAUGUAUAUAUAGAUAUGAAAUAUGUAUAUAUCUAUAAAAGUUUAAUGUUUAUCUGAUUAAGAUACAUGUACAUGUAUGUAUGAAGUUUUGAUUGUUUUCUUCUAUUUACAGAAUCAAUGAAAACAGUUUGAGAAAUUAUUCAACGAUUCAAGAUUUGCAAAAGAUUUGUCUGCAUUACCAUCUAUUGCGGAAGCGUCCGGUUCAAUAUGUCCUAUUUGACGUUCCGAUUGUCGACUUGAAAUUGAUAUUGGUCCAGUUUAGUGGUUAAAGAUCUAUCUUCAAUUAGCAAUAUCUCAAAAGACUUUUAAUAUCGGCAUCUUAUUCUGAACUGUUUCAUUUCCUUUGUUUCGAUGUUACUGCGAGCAAC